AAGGAUUGAAAGCAAAUACACUAUUAACAAUUUCAUACGUGGAUAAUUUUUAUCUUCUCUCUUUUUCUGUCAUUUACAGAUUUUCCACAAUGAGUUUGUCUUUUAUAAUAAAAAGUUAAUUUAAAAGGACAAGCAAUUCAGGCUGGGCGCAGUGGCACACACCUGUAAUCCCAGAACUUUGGGAGGCUGAGGUGGGUGGAUCACCUGUGGUGAAGAGUUCAAGACCAGCCUGGCCAACAUGGUGAAACCCCAUCUCUACUAAAAAUACAAAAAUUAGCCGGGCAUGGUGGUGGACACCUGUAAUCCCAACUACUCGGGAGGCUGAGGCAGGAGAAUCACUUGAACCCAGGAGGCGGAGAUUGCAGUGAGCUGAGAUCACACCACUGCACUCCAGCCUGGGCGACACGGCGAGACUCUAUGUCAAAAGAAAAGAAAAGAAAAGAAAAGAAAAGAAAAGGACAAGCAAUUCUUCAAUCUUGGGAUAAAUGAAGACAUUGAUUGGAGUGUCAUAAAACUAAGAUGUGAGAAUUUUUGAAUUAGAAUUUUAAUUUUAAUACCUACUUUCAAGAGGAGGUAAGAACCAAAAGUUUUAAAGGGAAAAGACUGAAGAUGAGCAUGUUUCUUUGAAUUAUAAAACUUGGGUUUAAUACCACUAGACUCUAAAUUUCCAACCCUAGUAAUAUGGAAUAUGCUGUUGGAACUCAACGUGGUCGUUUGCUUAACUUUUUGUUGAUAUAAUCUGAAAUGAUAUUAAAUCUCACUGUGGAGCAUCAUAAAAACAACCUAUUUGUCAGAGAAGAGUAGGACAAUUGUCCUAUUAAAUUGGAAAACUGAAAAAGAAAAUUUAAAAACAGACUUCCAUUAUUGCAUUCAUAUGACAAAUACUUUUUGAGUGUCUGUGUCACUGGGCACUGUACUACCUUGUAACUACCUAGGCAGUCGGGGUAGGGAAUCCUCCUUGGGGAAGUACCCUUUGUAAGGCCAGGCACAGAGAAAAAGGAGGGUAAAGAGUGUGCUAGGUAAUAGGUAGAGGACAUGUACAAAUAGAUGGCUACUGAUUUUCAGUUGAUAACUAUGUCUAAUUAGGUGAAUACCAUCUUAUUCUAGCAAGAGUAUCAGAGUGCGUUCAUUCCUGAGGACCCUUUCCCUGGUGUUGAAACAAAUUAUCUCUAGCCUUCAGUACGAAAUAAAUUCCCUUUUGCUACAUUUCUGCCAAAUCUGAAGAAUCACAAUGGAUGAGUCUCAUGCCUAUUUCAAAAUGGUAUAGAGUCUCUGGGGGUUCAGUAUAUUUAACUUGUUUCCUCAUAAGUGUGACUUCAAGAUAUUGUUUCAUGCUGGAAUUGUAAAUUGUGAUUUAUCCAUUCUCUGUAGAAAUAUUAAAUAAAUCUGAAAAAACU
rnacentral:lncRNA from 1 species